rnacentral:rRNA from 1 species
AUAAUCAGUUGGCUUAUAAUUGAAGUCUGGUAUGAAAGGGAAUUCGGGGUGUUACUAUCUUAAAAUAAUAAACAUGAAAUUACUUAAUAAGUGAAAAUUCUUAUAAUAAUAAAAUAGACGAGAAGACCCUAGAAAUUUUUUUAAAAUUACCUUUUUUUUUGUUGGGGCGACAGGAUAACAAAGAACUUAUCUACAUAAUUAAGAAAUUUAUAUAUAGUGUAACUAAAUUACUCUAGGGAUAACAGCAUAAUAUUGAAAAGUUUGUGACCUCGAUGUUGGACUAGGAAAUGUAUUACCUAAAAGGUAAUAUAAUUGGCCCUGUUCGUGCUAUAAUAUCCUACAU